rnacentral:lncRNA from 1 species
CUGGGCCUGCUGUUACGUCAGAGAAAGGCAGCCAAUCAGAGCAGGACUCUGCCUGUCUCCCGGCUGCAGACAGCUGAAGUAGUAAUAAACAGGGACGCGAGGUUCCGCCUGGGCUCUGAGCUGCAGCCGGCGAGUGUUUUUUCCAGGGCAAAGCCCAGAGGGGCACGAGGACUCAAGGCUGAGUCACAGAUCUGGAACCUCCUGAGGCUUGUACCCUGGCCCCCACGUGGAGCCUUGCCUAAGCCUCCCUUCCACUCAGGAGUAGAGCCAAGUGCUGAGGAAGAGAGAAGAACCUGCAGUGGAAGAGUUAGGGGCUCUGUGUCUGUUAGCAUCCUAACCGAGAGAGAAGUCAUGCUGAUGAAGACAGGACUCUGUAGACAGCUAAACCAGGCCAAGUAAAAUGUUGCAGUCUUUGUAACGUUAGCUCUCAUCGCUAACUAAUAUUCUUUAACUUAUUAAAUACUUGGAUGCGUG